UUUAUAUCUUGACGCUGCUGCUAACAACAAAGCCUCAACUGCGUACUCGUUCUUCUUGGAUGGUGUCUGCAAACAUGGAUGGCCCUCAAGAGUACGUGGUGACCAGGGUGUGGAAAAUGUGGAUAUUGCCCGGUGCAUGUUUUCUGUACGACGAACUGGACGCAGUAGCUUCAUUGCUGGCAAAAGCGUCCACAAUCAAAGUCUGACCUGGAGCAUUUCAUGGGUAGCUGGAACAGGCACCCUCUCAGAACUGAAGGCAACUUAUCUCCAGAGCAGCUGUGGCACAUUGGAAUGCUUCAAACACCCAUGGCUGAGCCAGAUAUUGAGCCACUGGAGAAUCUAUUCCAGGAGGGCUGGACUGAUGUUGACCAACAGGAUGGAGUAGUGGUGUCAGAGAUCCCAUGUCCCCUCUCAGACCAGAACCUUGCUGUACUUGAAGGAUUGAUAAAUCCCAUUACCUCACCCUUGCCUCAUAAAGAGCUUUAUAUGCGGACUCUAAAUCUGGUGCAAAGACUACUAUAAGAAGGAAGACCUGAGCAGCAAGAAUUGUUUUAAUACAGAUUUUAAGAAAUUUGUCAUGGAUUGUGUGUAACAGAUUGUUUAUUAGUAACAGGCUACAACUGUGACAGUUUACAUUUAAUAUCAGUUUCAUAGUUUUGCAUUAAGAACUGUUUUUAAUUGGUUGUAAAUGUUAAAUUGUAAAGAACCUGUACAAUAAAACCUGAAAUCCUUAAGUAAUUCAUUUACAGUCUGUGAAAGCCUGCACCACAUUUGAUUGCUGUAGAGAGAAAAGACGGAAAGCAAUGUAUAACUC